rnacentral:rRNA from 1 species
GUGUCAGCCGCCGCGGUAAAACCAGCACCUCAAGUGGUCAGGAGGAUUAUUGGGCCUAAAGCAUCCGUAGCCUGCUCUGUAAGUUUCCGGUUAAAUCCAUUAGCUCAACUAAUGGCCUGCCGGAAAUACUGUAGAGCUAGGAAGUGGGAGAGGUAGACGGUACUCGGUAGGAAGGGGUAAAAUCCUUUGAUCUAUUGAUGACCACCUGUGGCGAAGGCGGUCUACCAGAACACGUUCGACGGUGAGGGAUGAAAGCUGGGGGAGCAAACCGGAUUAGAUACCCGGGUAGUCCCAGCUGUAAACGAUGCAGACUCGGUGAUGCCCUGGCUUGUGGCCAGUGCAGUGCCGCAGGGAAGCCGUUAAGUUUGCCGCCUGGGAAGUACGUACGCAAGUAUGAAACUUAAAGGAAUUGGCGGGGGAGCACCACAAGGGGUGAAGCCUGCGGUUCAAUUGGAGUCAACGCCAGAAAUCUUACCCGGAGAGACAGCAGAAUGAAGGUCAAGCUGAAGACUUUACCAGACAAGCUGAGAGGUGGUGCAUGGCCGUCGCCAGCUCGUGCCGUGAGAUGUCCUGUUAAGUCAGGUAACGAGCGAGAUCCCUGCCUCUAGUUGCCACCAUUACUCUCAGGAGUAGUGGGGCGAAUUAGCGGGACCGCCACAGUUAAUGUGGAGGAAGGAAGGGGCCACGGCAGGUCAGUAUGCCCCGAAACUCUGGGGCCACACGCGGGCUGCAAUGGUAGUGACAAUGAGUUCCGAAACCGAAAGGUGGAGGUAAUCUUCAAACGCUACCACAGUUAUGAUUGAGGGCUGCAACUCGCCCUCAUGAAUAUGGAAUCCCUAGUAACUGCGUGUCAUUAUCGCGCGGUGAAUACGUCCCUGCUCCUUGCACACACCGCCCGUC